AGCAAAAUGUCGGCGUCUUCUUCGGGUAUGAAAUAUUAAUUGCACCCAAGCUUGGGCUGGAAGCCCAAGGGGUCCUUCAGCCAGCUCCAGUUGUGGUGGGAGAGCUGCAGACUGCUCACGGCCUGCCCGGCCCCUGUGUCGACGGCCCCUCCCUAACCAUCCGGGCAUUCUUUGGAGGCCAGGCCCCUGGUGCUCUCAGGGUGAAUUAAAAUUCUUCUGCUUUGAAGAUUGUUUUAAGACUGCUGUGACAACCUGGAGAUCAUCACCAGCCUCCUGGGGUCCCAUCUGACCCCAGCUGUGAUGCCGUCUGCACGGCACCCUCCAUCAUCCCUAACGCAGACACCCCCAACUGAGCCUACAGACGAGGACACGCCUGACGCCGGCCCCAGGAGAACAUACUGACCUAAAAGAGGAGGCAGAAGUGGACGCUCUCGUCUCCUGCUGUGCAGAAAUGAAGGCAGCCUUUCAGCAGCCCUGCGUGGUAGCGUUCAUUAAACCCCUUAAAAAUAC
ensembl:lncRNA novel transcript